CAUUAAAGAAUCGCCCCGUUUUUUGAAAUGGGUUCUAUUCCCAAACCGUGUAUACAUACCUUUGUUGCUUUGGCAGGCCGCCUUUUAGGCGUCGGCUCCGGCUGACUGCGCCUGCCAGAGGACCCAAACUCUUUUGUUUAGUGAUGUCUGAGUACUAUAUAAUAGUUAAAACUUUCAACAACGGAUCUCUUGGUUCUGGCAUCGAUGAAGAACGCAGCGAAAUGCGAUAAGUAAUGUGAAUUGCAGAAUUCAGUGAAUCAUCGAAUCUUUGAACGCACAUUGCGCCCCUUGGUAUUCCGAGGGGCAUGCCUGUUCGAGCGUCAUUAUAACCACUCAAGCCUUGGCUUGGUCUUGGGGUUCGCGGUUUCGCGGCCCUUAAAAUCAGUGGCGGUGCCGCUUGGCUCUAAGCGUAGUAAUUCUCUCGCUAUAGGGUCCAGGUGACCACCUGCCAGAACCCCCCCAUUCUUUACGGUUG
rnacentral:rRNA from 1 species